GACGAACGCUGGCGGCGUGCUUAACACAUGCAAGUCGAACGCUGAAGCUUGGUGCUUGCACUGGGUGGAUGAGUGGCGCACGGGUGAGUAAUACGUGAGUAACCUGCCCUUGACUCUGGGAUAAGCCUGGGAAACUGGGUCUAAUACUGGAUACGACAUGUCACCGCAUGGUGGUGUGUGGAAAGGGUUUUACUGGUUUUGGAUGGGCUCACGGCCUAUCAGCUUGUUGGUGGGGUAAUGGCCCACCAAGGCGACGACGGGUAGCCGGCCUGAGAGGGUGACCGGCCACACUGGGACUGAGACACGGCCCAGACUCCUACGGGAGGCAGCAGUGGGGAAUAUUGCACAAUGGGCGGAAGCCUGAUGCAGCGACGCCGCGUGAGGGAUGACGGCCUUCGGGUUGUAAACCUCUUUCAGCACGGAAGAAGCGAAAGUGACGGUACGUGCAGAAGAAGCGCCGGCUAACUACGUG
rnacentral:rRNA from 1 species